AAUAAUAUACGUAGGUAGUCUGCAGUAGUUUAUAUCGGUUACUACUAUAGCUAAGUUUUUAAUUCCCAAGUAUUUGUACGUACUCGUGUAUUGCUGCAGCGCGUACACGAUGUCACGUUCUGCCGCAAUAUUUAUUGGUACCUCAUAGUGGACUCGAUCGAACACAAUGUAAUGUGUAUACACAUUAUGUGCGCUUAUUUAUUUGGUUCGAUUUUGCUCGUCGGCUGUAUUAUAAUGUGCUGUACGACAUGCUACUAAACUGAAACGAUCUUUUCUCGGUUUGAUUUGGUUUGGUGCGUGCGGGAAGAGCGGAUAUAAAUUAAUCACUACUAACGGCUGCAGUGUUUAUGGUCGGACAUGUUCGUAUAAUAUAAUACAUAACAAUAUAUCUGAACCGUGCACGCCAUAUCCGACGAUUAAACAUUUUUAACUGCAGUUUGCACGAUGGUCGGAGUUGAUGACGGCUGGAUAGAUAAUCUUCACGAACUGACCUUCGAGUGGACCAAAUCGUUUUUUCCAGCAUUCAGCGGACACGCUGGAAUAUAAUAUAUAUACCUAUAGAUUAUGGGAACUGAAAUAUGCUCAGAUUUCGUCUAUGCAA